rnacentral:siRNA from 1 species
UCGUAGUGAUCACGGACUUGUU